GUUUGGAACAUUUUUGGCAUGCUCCAUCAUUGCUCGAUCAUGUUGAAAAGGUUUUCGCAAGAGUAAGCUCUGGACGUUGGGCAGAACACCCAGCACUAGGAUUGAAUAUCAGUUGCUUGCAUAUGAGGGAAGGCUUCAUCAAGAUACCACCACGUGGCAAAACUGUGAAACUGCACCCAGAAUUAUGUCAAUGAGAUUUUGAAGGUGUUAAUAAUUGUGUGCACCCUGUAAUAUGUACUGUAGUGAUCACUGUAAUGUUCUAUAGGCUGUAACAUUUACUGUUUUUUGUGUUAUUCAUUUGGAACUAAAACAUUUUCAUCAAUGAUAUUAGGUGUUUGGUCAGUCAAUUAAUAUGACUCAAUUCCUAGCAGUUACUUUCUUGAUAUUUACACAAGGGCUAA